GUCUGUGGCCAUACCGCCCUGAACACAUCCAGUCUCAUCAGAUUUAGGAAGCUAAGUAGGGUUGAGCCUGGUUAGUACUUGGAUGGGAGACGUUUGAGUGAUUUCUUCUAUUUGGUUUUUGUGAAUA
ensembl:rRNA 5S_rRNA 5S ribosomal RNA